rnacentral:rRNA from 1 species
UGGCGGACGGGGUGAGUAACGCGUGGAAAACCUGCCGUAUACUGGGGGAUAACACUUAGAAAUAGGUGCUAAUACCGCAUAAGCGCACAGCUUCGCAUGAAGCGGUGUGAAAAACUCUGGUGGUAUACGAUGGUUCCGCGUCUGAUUAGCUAGUUGGUGGGGUAAUGGCCUACCAAGGCAACGAUCAGUAGCCGGCCUGAGAGGGUGAACGGCCACAUUGGGACUGAGACACGGCCCAAACUCCUACGGAAGGCAGCAG